rnacentral:rRNA from 1 species
UACGUAGGUGGCAAGCGUUGUCCGGAUUUACUGGGCGUAAAGGGUGCGUAGGUGGAUGUUUAAGUCAGAUGUGAAACCCCUGGGCUCAACUCAGGGACUGCAUUUGAAACUGGAUAUCUAGAGUGCGGGAGAGGUAAGUGGAAUUCCUAGUGUAGCGGUGAAAUGCGUAGAGAUUAGGAAGAACACCAGUGGCGAAGGCGACUUACUGGACCGUAACUGACACUGAGGCACGAAAGCGUGGGUAGCAAAC